CGUGUAGGCGGUCUAAUAAGUCAGAUGUUAAAGGUCCCGGCUCAACCGGGAGGGUCAUUUGAAACUGUUAGGCUUGAGUGCGAGAGAGGGUAGUGGAAUUCCCAGUGUAGCGGUGAAAUGCGUAGAUAUUGGGAAGAACACCAGUAGCGAAGGCGGCUACCUGGCUCGCAACUGACGCUAAGGCGCGAAAGCGUGGGGAGCAAACA
rnacentral:rRNA from 1 species